CGCCUCCUACUUCUUGUCAAGGCUCCCUGGAUUUUUUGGAGAGUAUGUUGGUCUCACAGGAGCUAAGUUAGAUGGCGCUGAAAUGCUUGCUUGUGGUCUUGCAACUCAUUUUGUGCCUUCGACGAGGUUGACCGCAUUAGAAACAGAUCUUUGGGGAGUUGAUUCAAAUGAUCCAAACUUUGUCUCAACAAUUCUCAAUGCAUACACUCAGCAUCCACACCUCAAGCAGCA